rnacentral:rRNA from 1 species
AUGCAUUGGUUCUCGUGGUGGAAGCUUUGUAUACCAAAGUGUGAUGGGGGUUUAGGUUUUCGUGACCUACACUCUUUCAACUUGGCGCUGCUUGCAAAACAGUGUUGGAGAUUGAUUAUAAAUCUGGAGUCCCUUUGUGCUCGAAUUUUGAAGGCGGAAUAUUACCCCAAUACAGAUUUGCUGCAUGCUGGGCAAAAAACUGGGUCUUCAUUUACAUGGCAGAGCCUGGUAGCAGGUUUGACUACAUUUAAAAGAGGGUAUAUUUGGCGAAUCGGAUCGGGUGAGAAUGUAAGCAUAUGGAAUCCAUGGAUUCCCUCCAGCCCGGACAGGAGAGUUAUAACUCCUCGGGGACAUAUCUUAAUCUCUCGAGUGGUAGAGCUAAUUGAUCUAGUUACCUCGCAGUGGGAUGAACAAUUGAUACGGGAUAUUUUUUAUCCCGUGGACGCUACUAGAAUUCUGCAGAUACCACUCAAUUUCCAAGCAUUUGAUGAUUUUAUUGCAUGGCAUCUAACAAAGCACGGGAGAUUCACGGUUAAGAGUGCAUACCAUGAACAAUGGUCGCAUAAGUAUAGAGGUCAAUAUCUUCCAAACUCAUCGUCAACUAGUACCAUGCAAGCAGCGAUCUGGAAGAGGCUAUGGGAGCUUCAAGUGCCACGGGAAAUUCAAAUCUUCUGUUGGCGGGCAUUGAGAGGAAUCAUUCCAGUUAAAUCCAUUCUCGCUAAUAGACAUAUACAUGUCGAUGGUGCAUGCCCAGUGUGUCAUCAGGGGGCGGAAGACCUGCGUCAUAUGCUGUUCAAAUGCAAUUUAGCAAAUAGCCUAUGGGCCGGGCUGGGCCUAUCAGAGCAUAUUGACUUCGUUGUACAAGUAGACAGAUCGGGGUCGGCGAUCCUGGAAUUUCUGCUGCUGGAGUCAGACCAACCUCUACUAAUGAUGCCAAGCUUGAAGAAAAUGGAGGUGAUCGCGACCGGAUGCUGGUACCUCUGGUGGCUGCGUCGCGACACACUCACCAUGACUUGUUCCUCCUAUCUUCAGGUGGCACAUGUCUCUUCUCGCAAUAGUGAAAAAUUAUACAAACUCUGUGAUGCAGAAAGGGACUUUGAUGGAGCAUAG